AAAGUCGUAACAAGGUUUCCGUAGGUGAACCUGCGGAAGGAUCAUUAUUGAAUCCUCAAGGAUGUUGCUGGCCUUUUUGGCAUGUGCACUCCGCCUUUCAAUUCACCUGUGAACUUAUUGUAGGCCCGAGUGGUCUAUGUUUUAUAAACACCCAAAAAGUCUAUAGAAUGUCUUAUAGUAGACCUUUAUGGUCAAAACUUUAAUACAACUUUCAACAAUGGAUCUCUUGGUUCUC
rnacentral:misc_RNA from 1 species